rnacentral:rRNA from 2 species
CAGUCGAGCGAAUCUGAUGGGAGCUUGCUCCCUGAAGAUUAGCGGCGGACGGGUGAGUAACACGUGGGUAACCUGCCUGUAAGACUGGGAUAACUCCGGGAAACCGGGGCUAAUACCGGAUAACUUUUUUCUUCGCAUGAGGGAGAAUUGAAAGAUGGCUUCGGCUAUCACUUACAGAUGGACCCGCGGCGCAUUAGCUAGUUGGUGAGGUAACGGCUCACCAAGGCGACGAUGCGUAGCCGACUUGAGAGGGUGAUCGGCCACACUGGGACUGAGACACGGCCCAGACUCCUACGGGAGGCAGCAGUAGGGAAUCUUCCGCAAUGGACGAAAGUCUGACGGAACAACGCCCCGUGAGUGAUGAAGGUUUUCGGAUCGUAAAACUCUGUUGUUAGGGAAGAACAAGUAUCGUUCGAAUAGGGCGGUACCUUGACGGUACCUAACCAGAAAGCCACGGCUAACUACGUGCCAGCAGCCGCGGUAAUACGUAGGUGGCAAGCGUUGUCCGGAAUUAUUGGGCGUAAAGCGCGCGCAGGCGGUUUCUUAAGUCUGAUGUGAAAUCUUGCGGCUCAACCGCAAGCGGCCAUUGGAAACUGGGAGACUUGAGUGCAGAANAGGAGAGUGGAAUUCCACGUGUAGCGGUGAAAUGCGUAGAGAUGUGGAGGAACACCAGUGGCGAAGGCGACUCUCUGGUCUGUAACUGACGCUGAGGCGCGAAAGCGUGGGGAGCGAACAGGAUUAGAUACCCUGGUAGUCCACGCCGUAAACGAUGAGUGCUAAGUGUUAGAGGGUUUCCGCCCUUUAGUGCUGCAGCUAACGCAUUAAGCACUCCGCCUGGGGGGGGACGGGCGCAAGGCUGAAACUCACAUGAAUUGACGGGGGCCCGCACA